rnacentral:misc_RNA from 1 species
AAUUCUCAAUCUUCAAUGCUUUUUUUUUGUAUUGAAGACUUGGACUUGGAGGUUUGUGCUGGCUCUCGUUAGUCGGCUCCUCUUAAAUGUAUUAGCAUCAAUAUUUUAUGGAUCGCUUCGGUGUGAUAAUUAUCUGCGCCGUUGUCGUGAAGUAUCUUAAUAUAUAUGUUGGCGCUUCUAAUCGUUCCUUCAAGGGACAAUUACUUUGAC